GCCCCCCUUCCCUCUCCUCAAUCCAAUCAAGAAAUACUCCGAUCGCCGCCGGCGAUCGUCGGAGAUGGAGAGUGGCACCGUCACAACAUGCUACGAGAAGCUGGAUCGGGCGGCCACUUGGGUCGGGAUGAGCGUGGCGACGGCCUUCUUCUCCUCGCUGGAGCGCUGCUCCUGCAUCAACCUCAGCACCUCCGAUCGCGACGAGGAUGACGAAGAGGAGGCCAAGGAUCGCCCCCUCAUGCUCACCAAGCCGGUAUCCCAUGACGAGUCCCACCACGGCUCCAUGCCGG
rnacentral:misc_RNA from 1 species